GAGAGUGUAGCUCAGUGGUAGAGUGCAUGCCUAGCAUGCACAAGGUCCUGGGUUCAAUCCCCAGUACCUCCA
rnacentral:tRNA from 1 species